ensembl:snoRNA SNORA70 Small nucleolar RNA SNORA70
CAGCAACAUGAAAAUUGACUAAUACUCCUUUCCUCAUGGGGGCCCAGUGUGCAAUGGCUGCAAACAGCAGCUUCCUUGGUAGUGUAUGCAGCCUGUUUGUUGUAUGGGUUGCUCUAAGGGACCUUGGAGACAGGC